rnacentral:rRNA from 1 species
ACGGAAGGCAGCAGUAGGGAAUAUUGCACAAUGGGGGGAACCCUGACGCAGCAACGCCACGUGUGGGAAGAAGCAUUUCGGUGUGUAAACCACUGUCGUGAGGGAAUAAUGCUUGGCCUCGGCCAAGUUGAAUGUACCUCGAAAGGAAGCACCGGCAAACUUCGUGCCAGCAGCCGCGGUAAUACGAGGGGUGCAAGCGUUGUUCGGAAUCACUGGGCGUAAAGGGAGCGCAGGCGGAGAUGCAAGCAGUCUGUACAAUACCGGGGCCCAACCCCGGACCUGCAGACUGGACUGUUUCUCUUGGAUAGUUCAGGGGCAAGCGGAAUUCCUGGUGUAGCGGCGGAAUGCGUAGAGAUCAGGAAGAACACCGAUGGCGAAGGCAGCUUGCUGGGGACUUAUCGACGCUCAUGCUCGAAAGUGCGGGUAGCAAACAGGAUUAGAUACCCUGGUA